rnacentral:rRNA from 1 species
GUCGGGGAAGAAAAUGACUGUACCCGAAUAAGAAGGUCCGGCUAACUUCGUGCCAGCAGCCGCGGUAAUACGAAGGGACCUAGCGUAGUUCGGAAUUACUGGGCUUAAAGAGUUCGUAGGUGGUUGAAAAAGUUAGUGGUGAAAUCCCAGAGCUUAACUCUGGAACUGCCAUUAAAACUUUUCAGCUAGAGUAUGAUAGAGGAAAGCAGAAUUUCUAGUGUAGAGGUGAAAUUCGUAGAUAUUAGAAAGAAUACCAAUUGCGAAGGCAGCUUUCUGGAUCAUUACUGACACUGAGGAACGAAAGCAUGGGUAGCGAAGAGGAUUAGAUACCCUCGUAGUCCAUGCCGUAAACGAUGUGUGUUAGACGUUGGAAAUUUAUUUUCAGUGUCGCAGGGAAACCGAUAAACACACCGCCUGGGGAGUACGACCGCAAGGUUAAAACUCAAAUGAAUUGACGGGGACCCGCACAAGUAGUGGAGCAUGUGGUUUAAUUCGAAGAUACGCGCAGAACCUUACCAACACUUGACAUGUUCGUCGCGACUCUAAGAGAUUAGAGUUUUCGGUUCGGCCGGACGAAACACAGGUGCUGCAUGGCUGUCGUCAGCUCGUGUCGUGAGAUGUUGGGUUAAGUCCCGCAACGAGCGCAACCCUCACUUUUAGUUGCCAUCAUUAAGUUGGGCACUCUGAAAGAACUGCCAGUGAUAAGCUGGAGGAAGGUGGGGAUGACGUCAAGUCCUCAUGGCCCUUACGUGUUGGGCUACACACGUGCUACAAUGGUAUCUACAACAGGAAGCAAGACUGCGAAGUUAAGCAAAUCCCUAAAAGAUACCUCAGUUCGGAUUGCACUCUGCAACUCGAGUGCAUGAAGCUGGAAUUACUAGUAAUCGUGGAUCAGCGUGCCACGGUGAAUGCGUUCCCGGGUCUUGUACACACCGCCCGUCACACCAUGGGAGUUGGUUCUACCUUAAGGCAAGGUUUCAAACCCUUGACCACGGUAUAGUCAGCGACUGGGGUG